CUUCUCGUUCCGUAAGGAGGGACUUACCGAGUUUACAACUCCCAAACCCAAUGUGAACGUUACCAAACUGUUGCCUCGGCGGGGUCACGCCCCGGGUGCGUCGCAGCCCCGGAACCAGGCGCCCGCCGGAGGAACCAACCAAACUCUUUCUGUAGUCCCCUCGCGGACGUAUUUCUUUACAGCUCUGAGCAAAAAUUCAAAAUGAAUCAAAACUUUCAACAACGGAUCUCUUGGUUCUGGCAUCGAUGAAGAACGCAGCGAAAUGCGAUAAGUAAUGUGAAUUGCAGAAUUCAGUGAAUCAUCGAAUCUUUGAACGCACAUUGCGCCCGCCAGUAUUCUGGCGGGCAUGCCUGUCCGAGCGUCAUUUCAACCCUCGAACCCCUCCGGGGGAUCGGCGUUGGGGAUCGGGACCCCUCACACGGGUGCCGGCCCCUAAAUACAGUGGCGGUCUCGCCGCAGCCUCUCCUGCGCAGUAGUUUGCACAACUCGCACCGGGAGCGCGGCGCGUCCACGUCCGUAAAACACCCAACUUUCUGAAAUGUUGACCUCGGAUCAGGUAGGAAUACCCGCUGAACUUAAGCAUAUCAAUAGCCGGGAGGGAA
rnacentral:rRNA from 1 species